GACGAACGCUGGCGGUGUGCUUAACACAUGCAAGUCGAACGGUAAGGCCCUUUCGGGGGUACACGAGUGGCGAACGGGUGAGUAACACGUGAGUAACCUGCCCUCAUCUCUGGGAUAACAGUCGGAAACGGUUGCUAAUACUGGAUAUGAGCUUGCAAGGCAUCUUGUGGGUUGGAAAGAUUUUUUUUGGUUGGGGAUGGACUCGCGGCCUAACAGCUUGUUGGUGAGGUAGUGGCUCACCAAGGCUUCGACGGGUAGCCGGCCUGAGAGGGCGACCGGCCACAUUGGGACUGAGAUACGGCCCAAACUCCUACGGGAGGCAGCAGUGGGGAAUAUUGCACAAUGGACGGAAGUCUGAUGCAGCAACGCCGCGUGCGGGAUGACGGCCUUCGGGUUGUAAACCGCUUUCAAUUGUGACGAAGCUUUUUUGUGACGGUAGCAGUAGAAGAAGCACCGGCUAACUACGUG
rnacentral:rRNA from 1 species